CAGCAACCAUGGAGCAACACGAGGUGCUGAUUUUCUGCCUUUGGAAUGAGCUCGGCUGCUCUGGCUGCAAGUGGCAGGAGGGACAGUGACCCUGAAGUGAGCAUCUGUAUCAACAUGUUCCUGUUUGCUCCACUGGACUUGGCUCCUUACCACCACCAACCAAGCACCAUUGCUCCUUUCCACAUGCUCUGCUUUUUUCACAGGACACACACAGGCUGUGAGGAAGGCAAAUAGAAACAAGUCCAAGGUCUCCAAACCUUGCGUGCUGGGUCAGAGCUUUGCUUUCAGCUACUGCUGUGCUCAGCUGAGCCCUGCUGAAGGAAGGGAAGUGGCUGGGCUGCAUUGGCACCUCCCUCCCAGCUGGAGCAGGGACUGUGCCUGAUAAUUGCCCAAGAGACACCCAAAAUGGUGCCUUUUGGGCUCAGGUUUUGAGCAAGUUUUCAGCAGAGCUCCCACUCUGCCUUAAAUAAAGGCCAAAUGGAUGAUGCA
rnacentral:lncRNA from 1 species